rnacentral:rRNA from 1 species
CACGCAGGCGGUUUGGCAAGUCGGAUGUGAAAACCCGAAGCUCAACUUCGGGCCUGCAUCCGAAACUGCCCGACUAGAGGUAGGUAGGGGAGAUCGGAAUUCCUGGUGUAGCGGUGAAAUGCGCGGAUAUCAGGAGGAACACCGGUGGCGAAGGCGGAUCUCUGGGCCUUACCUGACGCUCAGGUGCGAAAAGUGGAGGCGGAACAAC